GUGGGGAAUCUUCCGCAAUGGACGAAAGUCUGAUGGAGCAACGCCGCGUGAGUGAAGAAGGUUUUCGGAUCGUAAAGCUCUUUCGUUAGGGACGAACGUGCUCUUUGUGAAUAAUGAGGAGUAAUGACGGUACCUAAAUAAGAAGCCACGGCUAACUACGUGCCAGCAGCCGCGGUAAUACGUAGGUGGCAAGCGUUGUCCGGAAUUAUUGGGCGUAAAGCGCGCGCAGGCGGGAUAUCAAGUCUGUCUUAAAAGUGCGAGGCUCAACCUCGUGAGGGGACAGAAACUGGUAUUCUUGAGUGUCGGAGAGGAAAGUGGAAUUCCAAGUGUAGCGGUGAAAUGCGUAGAGAUUUGGAAGAACACCAGUGGCGAAGGCGACUUUCUGGACGAUGUCUGACGCUGAGGCGCGAAAGCUAGGGGAGCGAACGGGAUUAGAAACCCGUGUAGUCC
rnacentral:rRNA from 1 species